CCUACGGGAGGCAGCAGUGGGGAAUAUUGGACAAUGGGCGAAAGCCUGAUCCAGCAAUGCCGCGUGAGUGAUGAAGGCCUUAGGGUUGUAAAGCUCUUUUACCAGGGAUGAUAAUGACAGUACCUGGAGAAUAAGCUCCGGCUAACUCCGUGCCAGCAGCCGCGGUAAUACGGAGGGAGCUAGCGUUGUUCGGAAUUACUGGGCGUAAAGCGUACGUAGGCGGUUAUUCAAGUCAGAGGUGAAAGCCUGGAGCUCAACUCCAGAACUGCCUUUGAAACUAGAUAGCUAGAAUCUUGGAGAGGUGAGUGGAAUUCCGAGUGUAGAGGUGAAAUUCGUAGAUAUUCGGAAGAACACCAGUGGCGAAGGCGACUCACUGGACAAGUAUUGACGCUGAGGUACGAAAGCGUGGGGAGCAAACAGGAUUAGAUACCCUGGUAGUCCACGCCGUAAACGAUGAUAACUAGCUGUUCGGGCUCUACGAGCUUGAGUGGCGCAGCUAACGCAUUAAGUUAUCCGCCUGGGGAUACGGUCGCAAGAUUAAAACUCAAAAGAUAAGUGACGNGAGAGAGCGACGACGACGACGACGGAGGAGGAGG
rnacentral:rRNA from 1 species